AACGAACGCUGGCGGCAGGCCUAACACAUGCAAGUCGAGCGAGGACUUCGGUCCUAGCGGCGGACGGGUGAGUAACGCGUGGGAACGUGCCCUUUGCUUCGGAAUAGCCCUGGGAAACUGGGAGUAAUACCGGAUGAGCCCUUUGGGGGAAAGAUUUAUCGGCGAAGGAUCGGCCCGCGUUGGAUUAGGUAGUUGGUGGGGUAAUGGCCUACCAAGCCGACGAUCCAUAGCUGGUUUGAGAGGAUGAUCAGCCACACUGGGACUGAGACACGGCCCAGACCCAGAGGGGGGGGGGAGGUGAGUACUGCAAGCGAAGGGUGGAAACCCUACUCUAGCCACGGGUGGUAUGGUGGGAGUGCCUGAGGUUUGUAACUCUCUUUGACCUGGAAAGAUAAUGCCGAUACCAGCAAAAGAACCCCCGGCUAACCACGGGACAGCAGCCGAGGAAUAAGCGAAAGACAACCGUCUGAAC
rnacentral:rRNA from 1 species